ACUCAAAUGAAUUGACGGGGACCCGCACAAGCAGUGGAUCAUGUGGUUUAAUUCGAUGUUACACGAAAAACCUUACCAACUCUUGAAUCUCGAUAGCGGGCUAAGAAAUUAGCCUUCGGGUUAAGCCGGAUCGAAGACAGGUGUUGCAUGGCCGUCGUCAGCUCGUGUCGUGAGAUGUUAGGUUAAGUCCUUAAACGAGCGCAACCCUCAUCCUUAUUUGCCAUCGGGUUAUGCCGGGAACUAUAUGGAAACUGCCAGCGACAAGCUGGAGGAAGGUGGGGACGAUGUCAGGUCAUCAUGGCCCUUAUGGGUUGGGCUACACACAUGAUACAAUGGUGAUUACAGCAGGAAGCAAAGGAGCAAUCUGGAGCGAAUCCCUAAAAGUCAUCUCAGUUCAGAUUGAGGGCUGCAACUCGCCCUCAUGAAGAUGGAAUUGCUAGUAAUCGUGGAUCAGCAUGCCACGGUGAAUACGUUCUCGGGUCUUGCACACACCGCCCGU
rnacentral:rRNA from 1 species